UAGGGCUGCAAACAGCCAACAAAGCUCAGCCGCAUAAAGGAGUUUCCGAAGUUAAUUUUCAGCAAGUUUGGGAAGCUGUUUGUUAAGUUUUGAAGCUGCAACAAGCGGACAACAAACAGCUACAAUGUUUCAGCCGCGCUAGAAGAACUUUCGAGGCAAGUUUUGGCAAGCUUUGGCCAAUUUCGGGUAAGGUUCAAGAGACGAUGAGGCGAACGUGUUAUAGUAAUCCGUAAGAGGUACAGACGCUCGGUUUGCUGAUCCAUUCGCCUAGGAUACCCACCUUGUUUGUUGGCAGUGCUUCUUUGUUCGGAGCCCUAUUUUGGUACUAACUUUUCUAUUGUACAUUUAUACAUAUUGGUUAAGGGUACGACGGGGCCCUGUCCCUUCAUAUGACUAGGCUAUCGUUCUGUAGAGGUCUAUAGA